rnacentral:rRNA from 1 species
ACGAACGCUGGCGGCGUGCUUAACACAUGCAAGUCGAACGAAGAGCGAUGGAAGCUUGCUUCUAUCAAUCUUAGUGGCGAACGGGUGAGUAACGCGUAAUCAACCUGCCCUUCAGAGGGGGACAACAGUUGGAAACGACUGCUAAUACCGCAUACGAUCUAAUCUCGGCAUCGAGGAUAGAUGAAAGGUGGCCUCUACAUGUAAGCUAUCACUGAAGGAGGGGAUUGCGUCUGAUUAGCUAGUUGGAGGGGUAACGGCCCACCAAGGCGAUGAUCAGUAGCCGGUCUGAGAGGAUGAACGGCCACAUUGGGACUGAGACACGGCCCAGACUCCUACGGGAGGCAGCAGUGGGGAAUCUUCCGCAAUGGACGAAAGUCUGACGGAGCAACGCCGCGUGAGUGAUGACGGCCUUCGAGUUGUAAAGCUCUGUUAAUCGGGACGAAAGGCCUUCUUGCGAAUAGUGAGAAGGAUUGACGGUACCGGAAUAGAAAGCCACGGCUAACUACGUG